CAGUAGCCGCGGUAAUACGAACCGUCCGAACGUUAUUCGGAAUUACUGGGCUUAAAGCGCGUGUAGGCGGCUCGGCACGUCUGGUGUUGAAAUCCCCCGGCUUAGCCGGGGAAGUGGCACAGAUACGGCCGAGCUCGAGGGAGGUAGGGGGGUCUGGAACUUCCGGUGGAGCGGUGAAAUGCGUUGAGAUCGGAAGGAACGCCCGUGGCGAAAGCGAGGCCCUGGACCUUUUCUGACGCUGAGACGCGAAAGCCAGGGGAGCGAACGGGAUUAGAUACCCCCGUAGUCCCUGUCUCUUAUA
rnacentral:rRNA from 1 species